rnacentral:rRNA from 1 species
GACGAACGCUGGCGGCGUGCUUAACACAUGCAAGUCGAGCGGUAAGGCCCUUUCGGGGGUACACGAGCGGCGAACGGGUGAGUAACACGUGGGUGACCUGCCCUCAGCUCUGGGAUAAGCCUGGGAAACCGGGUCUAAUACUGGAUAUGACUCCAUGACGCAUGUUGUGGGGUGGAAAGCCUUGUGCGGCUGAGGAUGGGCCCGCGGCCUAUCAGCUUGUUGGUGGGGUGANGGCCUACCAAGGCGACGACGGGUAGCCGGCCUGAGAGGGCGACCGGCCACACUGGGACUGAGACACGGCCCAGACUCCUACGGGAGGCAGCAGUGGGGAAUUUGGGCAAUGGCCGAAAGGCUGACCCAGCGACGCCGCGUGCGGGAGGACGCCUCGGU